UAGCGCCGAGUGAGGCGGCAAAAGCUCAAAUUUGAAAUCUGGCGCCUUCGGUGUCCGAGUUGUAAUUUGAAGAUUGUAACCUUGGGGUUGGCUCUUGUCUAUGUUUCUUGGAACAGGACGUCACAGAGGGUGAGAAUCCCGUGCGAUGAGAUGCCCAAUUCUAUGUAAGGUGCUUUCGAAGAGUCGAGUUGUUUGGGAAUGCAGCUCUAAGUGGGUGGUAAAUUCCAUCUAAAGCUAAAUAUUGGCGAGAGACCGAUAGCGAACAAGUACAGUGAUGGAAAGAUGAAAAGAACUUUGAAAAGAGAGUGAAAAAGUACGUGAAAUUGUUGAAAGGGAAGGGUUUGAGAUCAGACUCGAUAUUUUGUGAGCCUUGCCUUCGUGGCGGGGUGACCCGCAGCUUAUCGGGCCAGCAUCGGUUUGGGCGGUAGGAUAAUGGCGUAGGAAUGUGACUUUACUUCGGUGAAGUGUUAUAGCCUGCGUUGAUGCUGCCUGCCUAGACCGAGGACUGC
rnacentral:rRNA from 1 species